rnacentral:rRNA from 1 species
UACGAAGGGGGCUAGCGUUGUUCGGAAUCACUGGGCGUAAAGGGUGCGCAGGCGGAUCUUUAAGUCAGGGGUGAAAGGCCGGGGCUCAACCUCGGAACGGCCUUUGAUACUGGGGAUCUCGAGUCCGGAAGAGGUGGGUGGAACUGCGAGUGUAGAGGUGAAAUUCGUAGAUAUUCGCAAGAACACCGGUGGCGAAGGCGGCCCACUGGUCCGGAACUGACGCUCAUGCACGACAGCGUGGGGAGCAAACAGG